AGCGAACGUUUGCGGCGGGCUUAACACAUGCAAGUCGAACGAGAAUCCCUUCGGGGAGGAAAGUGGCGCACGGGUGCGUAACACGUGGAUAACCAACCCAUUGGUUUGGGACAACACCGGGAAACUGGUGCUAAUACCAGAUGUGUCGCAGCUGUCUUCAGGCGGUUGCGAGAAAGGCCCGCAAGGGUCGCCAACGGACGGGUCCGCGUCCCAUCAGCUAGUUGGUGAGGUAAUGGCUCACCAAGGCAAAGACGGGUAGCUGGUCUGAGAGGAUGAUCAGCCACACUGGAACUGAGACACGGUCCAGACUCCUACGGGAGGCAGCAGUGGGGAAUAUUGCGCAAUGGGCGAAAGCCUGACGCAGCCACGCCGCGUGAGCGAUGAAGGUCUUCGGAUCGUAAAGCUCUGUGGGGGGAGAAGAAGAAAGCCGGUGAAGAGCCGGCCCUGACGGUAUCCCCUUAGCAAGCACCGGCUAACUCCGUGCCAGCAGCCGCGUAAAGU
rnacentral:rRNA from 1 species